rnacentral:rRNA from 1 species
CAGUCGAACGCUGAAGCUCCAGCUUGCUGGGGUGGAUGAGUGGCGAACGGGUGAGUAACACGUGAGUAACCUUCCCUUGACUCUGGGAUAAGCCCGGGAAACUGGGUCUAAUACCGGAUAUGACCUCCUGUCGCAUGGUGGGGGGUGGAAAGAUUUAUCGGUCUUGGAUGGACUCGCGGCCUAUCAGCUUGUUGGUGAGGUAAUGGCUCACCAAGGCGACGACGGGUAGCCGGCCUGAGAGGGUGACCGGCCACACUGGGACUGAGACACGGCCCAGACUCCUACGGGAGGCAGCAGUGGGGAAUAUUGCACAAUGGGCGCAAGCCUGAUGCAGCGACGCCGCGUGAGGGAUGACGGCCUUCGGGUUGUAAACCUCUUUCAGUAGGGAAGAAGCCUUCGGGUGACGGUACCUGCAGAAGAAGCGCCGGCUAACUACGUGCCAGCAGCCGCGGUAAUACGUAGGGCGCGAGCGUUAUCCGGAAUUAUUGGGCGUAAAGAGCUCGUAGGCGGUUUGUCGCGUCUGCCGUGAAAGUCCGGGGCUUAACCCCGGAUCUGCGGUGGGUACGGGCAGACUAGAGUGCAGUAGGGGAGACCGGAAUUCCUGGUGUAGCGGUGAAAUGCGCAGAUAUCAGGAGGAACACCGAUGGCGAAGGCAGGUCUCUGGGCUGUUACUGACGCUGAGGAGCGAAAGCAUGGGGAGCGAACAGGAUUAGAUACCCUGGUAGUCCAUGCCGUAAACGUUGGGCACUAGGUGUGGGGGACAUUCCACGUUUUCCGCGCCGCAGCUAACGCAUUAAGUG